GGUUAACCGGAGAAUAUGGUAAAAAUUAAUAAAAUACGAAUCUUUGGUAGGUGGAAAUUGAAUGUGGAAUCUGGAUGGUGCAUAAAAAAGACUGCUGAAAAUUUUCUACUCCAAGAACUGAAUAUAUUUGAAUGUAAAAUUGCUGUGUUAAAAAUGAUACAAAUACUUUUUUUAGGUCUUUUUUUCCAAUCAUCUCUAGCUCUCUACCCUAGUAGUGGAAGUGUAGUUGAAUUAACACCAAGCAAUUUUGACAAAUUGGUGAUCAAAGGAGAUGAAGUGUGGGUUGUUGAAUUUUUUGCUCCUUGGUGUGGCCAUUGUAAGAAUUUAGUACCAGAAUAUACCAAAGCAGCCAAUGCAUUAAAAGGUAUUGUGAAAGUUGGAGCCGUAGAUGUAGACCAGCACAAAGAAAUCGGAGGUCAGUAUGGAAUUAGAGGAUUUCCUACUAUAAAAAUUUUUGGGGCAGAUAAACGUAAACCUGAAGAUUUUAAUGGUGGUAGAACUGCCAAAGAUAUCGUUGAAGGUGCUCUCAAGGCAGCUAAAGCAAAAGCUAAAGCAAAUCUUGGUUUAGGAGGUGGAUCACAGUCUGAUGAUUCUGAUAAUAGCCACGUAGUAGAACUGACUGAUAGCAAUUUUGAAAAGCUAGUACUGAAAUCUGAUGAUAUGUGGCUAGUAGAAUUCUUUGCUCCGUGGUGUGGGCACUGUAAAAACCUCGCACCUCAUUGGGCUAAAGCUGCAGCUGAACUUAAAGGCAAGGUAAAACUUGGAGCAUUGGAUGCAACUGUUCAUCAAGCAAGAGCAUCACUAUAUGGAGUACAAGGAUAUCCAACAAUCAAAUUCUUUGGCCCAGAUGCAAAAGAUUCUCCUACAGAUUAUGAUGGCGGUCGUACAUCAAGUGACAUUGUUACCUGGGCUUUAGAUAAGUUAGAAGAGAACAUUCCAGCACCAGAAGUAACUCAAAUUUUAGAUGACAAGUCAUUUAAGAAAUUGUGUGAAGACAAACCUCUGUGUGUAGUAGCCGUUCUUCCUCACAUUUUAGAUUGUCAGUCUGAAUGUAGAAAUAAUUAUAUUAAGAUGCUUGCUGGUAUUGGAGAAACAUUCAAAAAGAAGAUGUGGGGAUGGGUCUGGUCUGAAGCAGGUACUCAACUUGAUUUAGAAAAUUCCCUUGAUAUUGGUGGAUUUGGAUAUCCAGCUAUGGCUGUCAUUAACUCAAAGAAAAUGAAAUAUUCUAUUCUCCGUGGAUCAUUUUCCAAGGAUGGUAUUUAUGAAUUUUUAAGGAACAAACACCACUAACACCAGAUAUUUUAAAUGUAGGAACAGGAGAAACUGCUGGAACUUAACACAAAGGGGUUUGACUAGUGAAGAUUUGGAUAAACAAAAGGAAUUACUUUGGGCUAUAGCUACAUGCAGGUUUAUUUCCUUGUGGCUUCCUAUGUAUAUUCUUAUGAACUUAUACACUUUGAUAUGUUUUUAGUCUCAUGAAGAUUUUAUAAUUUAUUAUUUUAUUUAUAUUGUUAUAUUUAUGAUGAAUAAACAUUAUUAUUAUUACGGUAAUUUCCGUAAUAAAAUUUAAAUAAAUUAACUGUAAUCAAUAAACCGUUUUUAAUGUUAAUAAAUUAUCAAUAAUGAUUCCCAAAUAUUUUAUUUGUUUGACAACUUCUAUGGGUUGAUUGUUGAAUCAUGGACCUUGAACGAAGAUAUGUGCCAAAAAUUGGAAGCAUUUGAGAUGUGGCUAUAUCAGAGAAUUCUUAAAAGCCCAUGGACUGAUCGGGCCACAAAUGAGGAGGUCCUUAGAAAAAUGGGUAAGAACCGGGAGGUACUAACCACCAUGAAUCCAGAUAUGCCCUCAUACAAGCUAUUCUGCAAGGAAAAAUAUUUGGAAAGCGAGGUAUAAGAAGAAGAACAACCUGGUUAAAGAACCUCAGAACUCUAGCGUUAACUGUUGCUCGUUAGUACUGCUCUGAAUCAUUUUCAAUACAAAUAUUUGAUCUAUGGUGGAUCUGCCCUUUUUGAAUCCUCCCUGGUAUUCACCAACCUGCUCAUUUAAGUGCCUUUCCAAUCUGCUUCUUAUGACUCUGGCGAGUACCUUAUAUGUUACGUCUAACAUGAAAUUCAUACUGGGAUUGCAGUACGGUUAAGAAAGGAAUGCAAUUCAACACAACAUCUGUGUAGUUUUUCGGCGUUGCUGCAGAUAAAGUGAAGAUUAUCAUGAUGAUCGCCAACAUUCGUUAUGGAUAGGCACAGCAGGAAGAAGAAUAUUGUGAGAUUAAUAUUGAUCAUAUUAAUAUUUUGUAUUAAUAAUCAAUGCUUGGGUUUAACAAAUACACAACUUAUAAUAGAAAUAUAUUUUAUUGUCAUGGAAAAUUGUACAAUUUGAUGGACAAAGCUUACUAAAGAGUUAUAAAAAAUACAAAAACAACGUUUAACUUGAACCGGUGCUCUACAAGGUUGUUAUUGAGUGAAAAGCACUUUAAAACCCAAUGAUAACGAAAACUUUCCAUAGAAGGCCAUAAUUUUUAAUCAAAUUUUCUUUUAAUUUACUGUAAACGGCCAUUAUCGAUCGCUUAUUUUUGUUUUGGUUAUAACAGCCUGUAUAUUAGCAUUAAUUCAAGUAUUUCUAUAGUUGUAUUAGAGGUAUUUUUUUAAUGUGUAAAAUAAUUGUUUGGUUGCUCUUGAGUAGGUACUUUUACGACUUGAUUGUAUUCCUUAAGCCUUAGAUAUUACAUACUUAGUUUGACAAACACUAUUUUUUAUCACUACGCAAAAUACAAUUUAGGUAUGGAAAUACAAACUUUUACUUUUUUUUACAUAUCGCUUAAAAGCUUGAAUAAACUUAUGUUUUGAACUUUAUAUUGACUAGAACUUUAUAUUCCUUUAAUAAUUAAAUUAUUACUACCUUUAAUAAUUAAAUUAUUAUAUUACUUCAUAUUAUUUAUCAUUAAUUUCAUGUUUGUGUGCUGGCACCAUACAUCGUCUAUUUUAAAUUUACCGCGCACUGACUGGGACGCGUACAAUUGGCAACGUUGGUUAAAGUGUGCGAAUGGACCAUGAUAGUGUGACGUCAAAACGUCAAAAUUUUUCCAAACACGUUGUCUCUAGGGUAUACGCUACCGUGUACGCAAAUAAAAAAGUUAGGUAGAAUUAAACGUCAUAACAAAUAUUUUUCUAUCAAACAAACACUAAGGCCCGAUUGUACAUUGGCGGCUUAAGCUAUGGCUUAGUUGAACCGGGUUCAAUUUUGAGCGUCGGUUUAACUUCAUUCGGGUUGUUCAAUGCCGAGUUCAGUUAAGCCGAGGUUCAUACAAAUUUUGGUAAGGUUGGCAACGUAAGGCAUGCGUAUUCAAAGCAAUUCCCGUCAAUUCUCGACAUAAAUUUUCCCGCCAUUUAUGUAUUAUUAUUUGGUUUUUGUCAAUAUAAUUCUUUUAUUACUGUUAUUAGUUUAAUCGGUAUUUUCUAUCGUUUAGUUUAUCAGUUUAAUCAAUUUCCUACGUUAAAUUUGUGAACAGACCAUUUGAAUAGCUUGUGAUGAAGGAUUGCGUAAGGGUGUUAUCAGGUUUUCUUGACUCCGUAACCACUAUCACCAAAGAAGAUACUAAUUCAAUCUUCACAUUCUCUUCUCAUAAAUAUUUAACUGUUUACAGCUAUGAUUUCAAAUUCACUCAAAAAUGUUAAUAUUUGCCUUAUUCUAGGGAAGUAGGUAGGUAAUUUAAAUAAUUUUAGAAGGUAAAUUAGUUUGUAAUUAUUAUUAAAUAAAGUGAUAAUAUGUACCUACAUAAGCAUGGUACAAAUAUAAUUAAUUUAAGAUUUAUUAAUAAAUUAUGUACAUCUAAUUUAAUAAAUUAACAAAAUCGU
rnacentral:misc_RNA from 1 species